rnacentral:lncRNA from 1 species
CAUUCAAAAAAUAUAUAUAACCAAUUCAUGUCAUUCAAAACAAAACAAAACCAAAUAUAAAAAAAGAGGAACCUAUUUGUUGGUGUCGGUCACGCUCUUAGUCGCGCUAUUAGUCGCGCUUUUAGUCGCACUUUUGCCAACAUUUUCGACAUUCAAAUCUCUUAUAAUAGGCGUGAUUAUGUUGUCGUGUCCUUGGCUCGACUGGCCCUAAUGUAAAAAAAAAUUGAAAUUACAAAGAAAAUAUGAAUAUUGAUAUAUAUAAAUGCUAAUUACCUCAAUCGUCUCUCGUCGUAAAUCUUCCCUUACUUCCUUAAGUAUAUCCGGCAUUUAUUUUCUAAUGACUUCUUGGACUGCUUGAUCAAACUCUUUAUUUUUUUGUCGUUGAAUUUGUAUAAAAUCUGACGUUGUGUUCUGUGAAGUCGCCAAAUUAGUAGGAUUUGGUAAUGGCAUUAGAUCACUUGCUCUGGUUCCAAGCACACAACCUUUCUUUUUUCCCUCAGUAGCUUUCACCCAUAAUUCUAAAUUAUCAGGGAGUGUGUGUGAUCCAUUUGAUGAGUUGAUCUCAACACUAGCGGCUUCCAUAGCAUUUCUUUGGAGCUCAUUAUAGUCAGCCUAUAAAAAUGAAAAUAAAUAAUAAAUAAUAUGACUUAAAUUUCUUAAAAUACUUAAAAUAAUAUGACUUAAAAUUCCAUUGAAUCAAAAAAAGGAGGAAAAAUCUUCUCUGAUCUAUACAUAGUCUCGACAAUGGAUUUUCCAAGUGCUCUCAUUUAAGAUUCUUUCAAAGUAGGGGAACAAAUUUUACUAAAGAAAUGGCUAACUUUUGUUAAUACUUCAUUAAUUUCUUUAGGUAACAAAUCGAUGAAAGCAAUUGGUAAUAAUCUUUGCAUGAACACAUGACAGUCAUGAGACUUCAUACCUGAGAAUUUGCAAUCUUCGACGCUUGCACAUCUAGAUAUAUUUAAAACAUAACCAUCAGGGAAACGCAAUGUCUUCACCCAUUCACAAACUUUCUUGAUUUGGUCCUUCUCAAGAGCAUAAGAGGCCUUAGGAAUAAGUAUUUUGUCGUCACAAAUUUGUGGGUGCAAGCUAUGGCUAAUACGCAUAUCCUGAAGGUCUUUUCCGAGCAUUUAAAUGGUCUUUGGUCUUGCCUUUGAUAUUCAUAACUGUAUUGAAGAUGUUAUCAAAAAAUAUUUUUCUCAACAUGCAUGACAUCCACAUUAUGACGUAUUAAUAAUGAACUCCAAUAAGGUAAUUCAAAAAAAAUACUUCUCUUUGUCCAAUUAUGUGUUUUCCCGAAAUUGGAUUCUUUUACCUUGUGCGACAAUCCAAAAAUCACUUCAUCCGGAGAAAGGAUGUGAGAUUCUAAUUCAUAUCCUUUAAGGCGUUCAAUCGUAACAUCUUUUUCAAUCCUUCUACUAAAUUUAUCCUUCUGUCGCCGAUAUUGAUGAUUUGCCGAAAGAAAUUGACGAUGACAAUCAAAGAAACAUAUCUUUCUACUAUUUUUGAGAUAAAAUGCUUUGUUGUUUCCCAUACAAUAUGGACAUGCUAAUUUUCCAUGAGUACUCCAACCAGACAACAUUGCAUAAGCUGGGAAGUCUGAAAUAGUCCACAAAAGUGCCGCUUUCAUUAAGAAAUUUUGUUUUUUAAAUGCAUCGUAUGUCUCGAUCCCGUCAUUCCAUAAAAUUUUCAAUUCAUCAAUCAAAGGGGAUAGAUAAAUGUCAAUUUCUUUCUUUGGACUAUGAGGACCGGGGAUCAAAAUAGUCAAGAACAUGAAUGGUUGUGUGUUGCAUAUCCACGGUGGAAGGUUGUAUGGGGUAACGAUAACUGGCCAACAUGAGUACGGCAUGCUCGAAUGACCAAAUGGAUUAAAUCCAUCAGUGGACAAACCAAGUCUCACAUUUCGAAUAUCUGCGGCAAAACUUUCGUGAGUACGAUCAAAAUAUUUCCAAGCUUCGCCAUCGGCUGGAUGUCUAAUUUCAUUGGCGAUAUCUUUCCGACAUUGACUGUGCCAAAUCAUUUCCUUUGCAGUAUUUGAACAGUGGUAUAACCGUUGAAGUCGGGGUAUCAAAGGAAAGUAUCUUAAAAUUUUAAAUGGUAUUUUCCGACCAGUAGAAGUUAUUGUCUGGUACCUAGGGUGUCUGCAUGUCGGACACUCAGUUAUGUUUUGAUGGUCCUUGCGAUAUAAGAUGCAGUAAUUCUGACAUGCAUCUAUUUUUUCAUAUUUCAUCCCAAGUUUAUUCAAUUUUUGCUUUAUUUUAUAAUACGAAUUUGGAAGAUUAUUCACUUCUGGUAAGGAUGAACCCCAUAAUUCCAAAAUUGUAUCAAUGGCAACUUCAGGUAUUCCAUAUGUUGAUUUGAUGCACAUAAUUUUUGACAAUACCUCUAGAGUUUUAACUUUACAUCCAUCAUACAAUUUCUGAUUUGCACUCUCUAACAAAUUGUAAAUAUUUUGGGCAUCAACAUUGGGUAAUUCAGUAUGAUGGUCAUCGAUAACGAAGGGUCUACUUGCAUCAUGAACCAUAUUGACUAUUGGAUUGUUAUUACUAGAUCCAACUUCAAAGGUAGUAUGACCGUAUUCUUCGAAAAUUUCUAUCCGUGCUUUUUUUCUUGAGCUAUCGAUUUCACCAUGUUGAUGCCAAAUAGAAUAAUCAGCCAUGAACCCGUUUUUGUAAAGGUGAAUACCCACUUCAUCUAUUGAAAAAUAAAAUGAAUAACAACAUGCAAAGCAAGGGUACUUUAUUCUUUCAAAUCCAAGUGUUUCUCUUGCAAAUUUCAAGAAAUGAGGGACGCCAUUGCCAAAUUCCACCGUUAGAUGACCCUUUGAAUCUUGCCGGUUAUACAUCCAAGUUCGAUCAUCAUCCGUCAUUCUAAGAAUUUUAAACCAAUACAAUUAGUUUUUAAACCAAUACAAUUUUAAAGCUAAGGAUUUGGCUCAGCAUUGCCCAUUUUUAAUUCCAGGGUUUCUCUGAAUUUGAGUUGAGGCCCUAAUUUUCCCAUGGAAUUAAUAAAAUAUCCAAUAAAACAACAUGGGAAUUAAUAAAUUUUCCCAUGGCUUAGUAUAUACUUUUAGAUCCAACAAAACAAAAGGCAGUUAUAUGUAUAUGUAUAAGUUUCUAUUAUAAGUAUAGAUGAUGUAAUGCAGAGAACAGAGAAAUCUAUGUUUUUUUACCCUAUCAGUACUAUAUCAGUAAAUAGAUGAUGUAAUGCAUGUUUGAAUGAAAACAUAAUCAAAUCAGAAUAACAUCAAUCGUGAUAUUCAUUCAUAAAAAUAGAAAUAGAGAAUCGGGUCAAAUUAAAAAAAAAUGAAGAGAAAUUAAAAUAGAAACAAAUGAACAGAUUUUGAUGAAAAUAGAAAUAAAGAAUUUUUUUAGGGAUUUAACAUAUUUUUUAGGGAUUAAACAAAUCGUGGACAAACAAAUGAACAAAUCGUGGAUUUAACAGAUCUAUUUUUGUCCCAAACCAAACUAAAAGAAAAUAAGAAUAGAAUACACAUUACCGUGUAGGAUGGGAGUGCCGGAGUGGAGAUAGACUUGUGAAGUACAGGGAUUUAGCAAAUCACUGCCGAGAUUAGGGAUUUAACGUCGCAGCUGCCGGAAGAAUUCGACGUGAGAAAACUGCCAAUUAAGAGAACCACAAUUAAGAGAGAAAACUGGCAUGUCCAGAGAAAACCAGAUUUGAGGUUCAACUGGUUAUUCUAUAACUGGUUAACUUUCAAAACAAAUGAAACAGAGCAUGUGAAAGAUCUGUCUAAGAUCUGUCUAAGAUCCAGAUCUGUCUAAGAUCCGCAUACCACAAAUAUUUUUAUGUUAGCAUAUGCGACAGCAUAAGAAACCUUAUUUAAAAUAAAGAUUUCAAUGGGUAAAUUAUGUUCACAAUCAUAAUCAUACUAUACUACCAAUCUCUUUAUCUAGUCUCAUUGUUCAUACUUCAUACUUAAUCAAAUACUAAACUUUGACAGAGGAAAUAAUUGUCUCAUUGUUCAUCAUCAAUGGAUCGUCUAGUUUUAAAUCAUACUUUUACAUGUAUUCUUGCAUAAAUAUUUCUUGUUCCAUAUUUUCGUUUUUUCCUAAAUUUUUAUUUCUUAAUGUAUUAACCAUGUAUCUAGGCUGCAACAAAUUUUUCCAUUGUUAAAUAUUGAAUCUUGCUGCAUCACCAAUUCACCAUGUAAAAUCACAGAUAUACAGUUUGAUAACUUGAUUCUCCUUUAAACAUUGCAUUAUGGAUAUGUUAAACACUUUAAUUUUUAAGCAUUUUCUUCCUUAGUAAUUAUUUUGAAGAUUGUCGAUGCUGAUUUUUGUUAAUGAGGAUUUUUAAUUUAACGUUUUUAUGUUUACUUUUCUAUAGGUGGUUCACACUCAAGCCAAGGUUGUAGGAGAUCAGGAUGUGAUGUAUAAAUAUAUUUCUAAUAAUGCACUUUUUAAAGCAACGGCAAGUCCAGAAGCUGUCGGAGAAAUUGGAACAGCAAUUCCUGAAGAAGCUCGAUUAGUUGUGUAUCUCAUUGAUGCUGUAAGGGUGUUUCAAGAAACACUAUUUUCAGAACAAUUGUGAGGGUAUUUCUCUAUUUUCAGAACAAUUUUCAGAACACUAUUUGUAUCCAAGAAACACUAUAAGAGUGAGGGUGUUUCUCAACAAUUGUUUCAUUGUCUCAAAUAUGGUAAUGACUAAUAGCCUAUACUACACAAUUUGGGCUGUCACACUUCAUUAUCACAUGCAACAUUUUUUCCUCUUCUCAUAUGGUAAUGUAUAUAUUUCUAAACCAAAUGGCAUGGGUGGAUGUAUUUUGUAAUGCAUUAAUGCACAUGCACACACAUGGAGUGAGCUAUAUCUUACUUGUUUUCAAAAUAUGGAAUGAUCAGGAUCGUUGAUCCUUCUGAAUUAUGCAAUUAAGCAACCCAUAAAUCCAUAAUUUCGUAAUAAAGAAUUAAAGAUUGUGAACACAGCUGGAACAGAUAUGUCAUCCUGGGAAAGGAAACCAGCACCACUCGAUCUAUAUUUUCAAUCAGGGCAUUAGGAAUUCAGGAUGCCGCAUAUGCCAUAUAAAAUUAAUCAUUAGGAAUCAGGGCAUUACUUAAUCAUGUUUAAUAAAAUAAAUAUCACUAAUGGCCGAUUCAUUUAUUAGGUUAAAUGGAUUCCGCAUAUGCCAUAUAACACCAGAUAGGGUGAUCGAAUUCAUCAUACCUAGGACGAAUCAAGAUACCACAGAGGAAUCGCUGCUGCAGUUGUCGCUGCUAUGCGUGGUCGCUGCUGCAGUUAGAAUCGCCGCGGCCAUGUGCAAUCGUCACUGCUGUUGGGGGGGAAUGAGGGGAACUCGUUUGCCGUUGGGAGGGAAUG